rnacentral:rRNA from 1 species
GACGAACGCUGGCGGCGUGCUUAACACAUGCAAGUCGAACGCUGAAGCACCAGCUUGCUGGUGUGGAUGAGUGGCGAACGGGUGAGUAAUACGUGAGUAACCUGCCCUUGACUCUGGGAUAAGCCCGGGAAACUGGGUCUAAUACUGGAUGCUACAUGUCACCGCAUGGUGGUGUGUGGAAAGGGUUUACUGGUCUUGGAUGGGCUCACGGCCUAUCAGCUUGUUGGUGAGGUAAUGGCUCACCAAGGCGACGACGGGUAGCCGGCCUGAGAGGGUGACCGGCCACACUGGGACUGAGACACGGCCCAGACUCCUACGGGAGGCAGCAGUGGGGAAUAUUGCACAAUGGGCGAAAGCCUUAUGCAGCGACGCCGCGUGAGGGAUGACGGCCUUCGGGUUGUAAACCUCUUUCAGCAGGGAAGAAGCCACAAGUGACGGUACCUGCAGAAGAAGCGCCGGCUAACUACGUG